rnacentral:lncRNA from 10 species
UCAAGAAGUUCAUGGACUCAGGAGGACGUCGUGAGCAGUGCUGAGGUCAUGGAAUGUGGGCUGGGACCUUGUGUUUGGUGACAUCCUCUUGAACCAGUUUCAGUUGCAUUUCUGCCUCUCACAAUAAAGGGAGCCUUGACUGAGACCCACUAAUAGAAAAUGGAGCAGAAAAUAAGAACUGACACUCAAACACAAAUGGCCAAUGAACAUGAAGAGAAGAAUCACUUUCCAUAAGGAAAUCCAAGAAGUGCCCAUUACAAUAAAUGCAUGCUAUUACGGAUUGAACUGUGUCCCCCUACUGAAAGGUAUGUUAAGUCCUCACCUCCUGUACCUAAGAACAUGGCCUUAUUUGGAAAUAGGGUGGUUGCAGAUUAACUAGUUAGAGUGAGACC